rnacentral:lncRNA from 1 species
UCGAAUUAUUCGAAUCAACUCGAAUUUUUUUUUCGAAUUUCGAGUUCGAAUCGAGUUGAGAUUUCGAAUUCGAAUAACUCGAAUAAUUCGAAUAAUUCGAAUAUCAAACUAUAAUAAUUUACAUUUUUACCCUAAACUCCCAAACCUUUUUACUUUUCCCUCAAAACUUUUACUCCUUCCCACUUUUCCCCCAAAACUUUUACUCCCCUCCCCUCCCAACCCCCCAAUCUACCAAAAAUCUAUUUCCCACCAAAAAUUUACUCUCCCAUUUACUUUUUCUCAAAAUUUU